rnacentral:rRNA from 1 species
AUGAAGCUGGAAUUGCUAGUAAUGGCAGGUCAGCAUACUGCCGUGAAUACGUUCCCGGGCCUUGUACACACCGCCCGUCACACCAUGAGAGUUGGGAAUACCCGAAGCCUGUGAGCUAACUUUCUAAGAGGCAGCAGUCGAAGGUAGAAUCAAUGAUUGGGGUGAAGUCGUAACAAGGUACC